UACAGAGGGGGCAAGCGUUGUUCGGAAUUACUGGGCGUAAAGGGCGCGUAGGCGGCCUUCUAAGUCGAACGUGAAAUCCCCGGGCUCAACCCGGGAACUGCGUCCGAUACUGGAAGGCUUGAAUCCGGGAGAGGGAUGUGGAAUUCCAGGUGUAGCGGUGAAAUGCGUAGAUAUCUGGAGGAACACCGGUGGCGAAGGCGACAUCCUGGACCGGUAUUGACGCUGAGGCGCGAAAGCGUGGGGAGCAAACGGG
rnacentral:rRNA from 1 species